AGCUCCAAUAGCGUAUAUUAAAGUUGUUGCAGUUAAAAAGCUCGUAGUUGAACUUUGGGCUUGGUUGGCCGGUCCGUUUUUUACGUGUACUGGUCCCAACCGAGCCUUUCCUUCUGGCUAACCUUCUCUUCGGAGUCGGCGAACCAGGACUUUUACUUUGAAAAAAUUAGAGUGUUCAAAGCAGGCCUUUGCUCGAAUAUAUUAGCAUGGAAUAAUAGAAUAGGACGUUUGGUUCUAUUUUGUUGGUUUCUAGAACCAUCGUAAUGAUUAAUAGGGACGGUCGGGGGCAUCAGUAUUCAAUUGUCAGAGGUGAAAUUCUUGGAUUUAUUGAAGACUAACUACUGCGAAAGCAUUUGCCAAGGACGUUUUCA
rnacentral:rRNA from 1 species